rnacentral:lncRNA from 1 species
ACAUGUAAUCAACCAAAUUUUGAAGUAGUCAAACGAAUCUUUGAAGAAAAGUUUAUGAAACCGUUGGUUCAAAAACUUCUUUGCAAUCCUCUAGCAAGGACCUCGAUCAUACCCUAAAAUAUUAUAUAAAUUGGGAGAUAUAUAUUCUUUUUUUCAGCUACACAGACAAGGAGAAAUAGAAAAUAGCGACUGCUCAUGAUAGUCAGUUUCUAUAUGCAUGUCAAGAUAUAAAGCAGACAUAUCUGUAUUUAAUGUGUCCUUUUAACUCGCCAUGGCCAUGUGAGCUAUGACAUGUAGUGUCCAUUCUCAGUGCAAACUUCAUUUUUUCUUCUUCUUGAAAUCCCUUAACCAAUUUCAACCAAACUUUAACUUAAUUAGGUUAUGUGUCCUAUC